UAAGGAAUAUUGCUCAAUGGCCGCAAGCCUGACCCAGCAACGCCGCGUGAGGGAAGAAGGCUUUCGGGUUGUAAACCUCUGUCCUUGGUGACGAAACAAAUGACGGUAGCCAAGGAGGAAGCUCCGGCUAACUCCGUGCCAGCAGCCGCGGUAAUACGGAGGGAGCUAGCGUUGUUCGGAAUUACUGGGCGUAAAGCGCGCGUAGGCGGCUUUUUAAGUCAGAGGUGAAAGCCCGGGGCUCAACCCCGGAAUUGCCUUUGAAACUGGGAAGCUAGAAUCUUGGAGAGGUCAGUGGAAUUCCGAGUGUAGAGGUGAAAUUCGUAGAUAUUCGGAAGAACACCAGUGGCGAAGGCGACUGACUGGACAAGUAUUGACGCUGAGGUGCGAAAGCGUGGGGAGCAAACA
rnacentral:rRNA from 1 species